rnacentral:rRNA from 1 species
AUUGAACGCUGGCGGCAGGCCUAACACAUGCAAGUCGAGCGGAUGAAGGGAGCUUGCUCCUGGAUUCAGCGGCGGACGGGUGAGUAAUGCCUAGGAAUCUGCCUGGUAGUGGGGGAUAACGUCCGGAAACGGGCGCUAAUACCGCAUACGUCCUGAGGGAGAAAGUGGGGGAGCUUCGGACCUCACGCUAUCAGAUGAGCCUAGGUCGGAUUAGCUAGUUGGUGGGGUAAAGGCCUACCAAGGCGACGAUCCGUAACUGGUCUGAGAGGAUGAUCAGUCACACUGGAACUGAGACACGGUCCAGACUCCUACGGGAGGCAGCAGUGGGGAAUAUUGGACAAUGGGCGAAAGCCUGAGCCAGCCAUGCCGCGUGUGUGAAGAAGGUCUUCGGAUUGUAAAGCACUUUAAGUUGGGAGGAAGGGCAGUAAGUUAAGACCUUGCUGUUUGGACGUGACCAACAGAAGAAGCACCGGCUAACUUCGU